rnacentral:lncRNA from 1 species
UGCCUUUUAGAAAGAAAAGGUAAGAAUAAUCAGAGUGAAGCGGAAAUAGAUGAGAAAAGAUUAAGAAAAGCUUAGUAAAGAAUCAGAGUAGCAAAGGUAAGUAAGUAAUGAUUGUCCAGUUCUAUCUAGGUUUCGUCCUACAGUCAACAUUCCUCUGAUACCACUUCUGUCACACCCGGAUUUUAGGGGUCCAAAACCCGAGCGCGAACAUAAACACCAGGUGUGCUGGGACCAAGUCUCACACAUAUGAUGCAUAGUGGCACAGGAUCGAAUGUCACAUCUUUACUAUAUAACAGGAGUUCUAUACAAAAUAAAUAAGUAAUUACAUUAUAAGGAGACAACGGUCCAGCAACCCAAAGUUGACUGGGAGACGACGGCCUAGAUCUCUCACGAACACAUCACAGCAUCCUCCAUGCGCCUCAUCCUGCGGUACCUGUUCUUGACCUGUGGGGGGUGUGAGACAGCAAGAGUGAGCUCACAUACGUUCAUCGCUCAACAAGUUGUGGGGAAUAAUGUGCAUGAACUCGCCAAAGGUGGGAGCUCACGUGAAGUGUAAGGCUUACCAAAGAGGAUGGUUAGAGCUGAGCAUUGCUUUUAAAGUUGGUCAAAAUUUUAUUAGCAAUUACUAAGUAAAAUACCAACCCAAUUAAGUAGUAGAACAAAAGUAACAUCAUCACCUGCGAAUCUACGAUGCAAUGCAUAUGACAAAUUGAAUUUAGUUCCAUAAAUUAAUCAUCAGAGAGUCCUGAGCUGCUCAUGACCGUGAGCUCGGCUAGUAUACCAGUUUUACACUCUGCAGAGGUGGUACCCUUUACCCACAAGUCAUGUUACCCAUCUGCCAAGGGAUCGCGACUUCCCAUACACCUCUACCGAGGAGGCGAGGCAGGGUAACACUACGAGGCCUUUACAAAGUUCCACUAGCUUCAGAAAACCCGCUACAGUUUAUAGGAAGCUCCAAUGCAGGAAUCCCUUGCAGGACCGCCAUCGCAGCAAAAUCCUCCCGAGGGCCUCCCUACACUGACCACUCCCCUACUGCCCUUGCCCCUUUCGGGUAAGGUAGUCCUCCACUAGCUUUCCUAAUUAAUCAGCCAAGGGCGUCCAUAAACCCUUGUGGUGGCACGUGUUUCUCAAGUUAAGCUCUAUGUUCCAAUUAACAUUUAAUGAUCUUGUCAUGAACAUAAAUAAAAUAACAACAUAACUGGAACAUAGAUAUAAUAAAAUAUUAACCCAAAACCAUAUAAAGCAGUAGCAGAACUACCCAAGUGAUUCAGGGGUAAACAAGGUAUUGAGAUAAAAAAAUCUAGGGUAACCUAUUAGGUCCCAUCAAAAUUAACCUAUGCAGAUCAUUAUGAUUAAUUAGAACAUGAGUGGGUAAAAGAAGUGAUCAAGGGCACAACUUGCCUCGGACUUGAGAUUCCAGGUACCAACUUGCUCUUCAGAUGACACGUGUCCUCACUGCUAAACGUAGCAAUACAGACAAACAUGGUAUAGACAAAAUGAACAUCACAUGAAACAUAUAAACAAAAUACACAGUAAUAAUCUACAUAUUAAAAUAGAAUCCUAGGAACAUGAAUCAUAAUUUUUGGAGUUAUAGAUUUUAAGUUAUGAAUUUUCAAAGGUUUCGUGUGUUUUAAAUAGAAUUAAGUGAUAAAUAAAUUUUAUUACUGUUUUCAUGACAAACCAGAGACUCUAAGUGAUAGAGAAUAAAAUUACAAAAUUUUAGGAACUGAAAUGAAGUGAUUUGGAGUUCAUAUGAAUUUUCUAUGAAAUAAACAAGUUCUAGCCUUUUAUUUUUACACUAAAAUUCCAUUUUCUAUUCAUUUAUUCGAUUUAAACGAUCUCUGGACUGGGCCUCAAAAUAUGAGAACAGCAGGGGGCUCGGGGCAAAAAUCCCCAAGGCACAGAGACAAGCCGUGCAGGACGGCGGGUUGGUUUCUCAUAAGCCUAGGGUUUCUUUAGCAAAAUGCCUGGCCGAAGGGUUAUUGACCAAUCUUGGCCGAUGGAUUAGAAACGGGUGGCACAGAUUAGAUCUAGCCAUCAAGUGACUCGGUGCGCGUCCUAGCCACUGGAUCAAGAUCGUGCGGUCGAGAAUAAGCCCAACCGAACCGGUACGUGGAAGCUAAUCAGAGCCGUUCAUCCCCAAUCCAAGGGCGCCAGUUCAUCUUCUUCCACUCGCUACUCCCACCAGGCGGACCACACGCCGAGCGGCACCAUGGACAGAGCCGAGUUCGCCGUACUAGCGGUCCCGCCCCACUGGUCACUCUCUCUUCACUACUCCCGAUCCUUGCCGCGGCCGAGCCAGGAAACCACCCAGAUGCACCGAGGAGGAAUCCAUCCGGGACCUCCAUCGUUUAUUUCGCGAUAGACGGCCACAGGCCCUUCUUCUUCCCAUCUGGCAACGACGCCGGUGACUUCCGCACCCCUCCCACGGCGGCGCCCAGAUCUCUGAAGCGACGAGUGCCCGCGAACACCCGCCCAAGGUUCUAGGGAAACAUCCGAACUCUAACGGGAGCAACAGAGGUGGAAUGCAUUCGUAAACAUGGCAGGAUGGCUUACCAGAGUUCAUGCCGUAAAGAAUUCCGACCACGCACCCAAGCGGUCCACGACGGAGCCAUGAUUCAGGCGAGAAAUCGACGGUGUUCUAGUGGAUCCCGCGCCCAGAGCUUCCACCAAACGCACGGACGGGCCUUCUCUUCUCCCCGAGCGAGGUGCGAGCCUCGGGUUGCAAGGCGCACUCGCCCGAGAUCUCCCUAGCCUGAUUUGUUUAUGGCGAUAACCAGCCGCGUUCACGUACUUAUACCCGAGGUCAGGUGCGGUGUUCGGUCUCAAGCGCCUAACGGCUGACGAGAUACGCGGCAGCAAGUCCGCCCAGUUCGCGCGGCAAGGGAUUUGGCCAAGGCCGCAAUGAACUGUUCCGCGAAAAUUCUUGGCAUCACGGCGCGAGGUAAACGAUGACCCAGACUAUCUAGGCCCACGUGUAGGUGAGUCGGAGCUAGCGCCAGAGUAAAGAGGCCGACGACGCGGGCCUAUAUUACAGAGACACAAUGAGGCGGUAAGGACGUGGCCCACAUGGCGGUGGAAGAGGAGACUGACCACUGGGGCCCCCGCGCAGAGAAAAACUCCAAAGUGCGUGCGGCAGGGAUGCUGGGCCGCGUGGGGGCAAAAUGCCCAAUUGGGCCGACCAGGGACACAUUUGGCCCAGGCGCUGUUUAGGAGUUCUUUUUUUGUUUAUUCCCCUAUUUUAUUUUCUGUUUUAAACUUUAAAUUUGUGAAUGUCCAAAUUCAAAUUUCUGUUUUGAAUUUUUCAGAUCCCAAUCACAACAUAAUCAUAAGGUGAAUAUAAAUCCUAUUAUUAUUAUUUAUCCUUCUUUCUAUUAUUUUAAUUCUAAAAAAAUGACUCUAUCACAAUUUUCUUUCACAUUUUUCUGUUUUAUAUUUAUAAUUCAAGUUAUGAUUCUUUUUUUAAAAAAAAUGCAUCACAACAAAAUCACCAACAUGAGAUACACAUUCCUGUAUUUAUUUAUUUGUUAUUUGACCAAUAUAAUUCCAUCAAUUGAAUAUGCACAAAUUAAAAAAAAUCAAAUAAUCUCCAAAGAAUUUUCUAUAAAUGCAUGUACUUAUUUAUUUUAUUAUUUUUAUCUUAUACAAAUUUUAGGGCUUUACAAAAGUUGUGACAUUCGAUCCUGUGCCAUGAUUCAUCAUAUGUGUGAGACUUGGUCCCAGCACACCUGGUGUUUAUGUUCGCGCCCGGGUUUUGGAUCCCUAAAAUCCGGGUGUGACAGGUACCCUCAAGACUCCUAAUUGUCAGCUGGUAACCCCCAUCAGCAUAAAGCUGCAAAGGCCUGAUGAGUGCGAUUAAGUUAGGGAUGAGUCCAUUCGAGCGACUCGAUCAUGCCUCGCCCGAGCCUAGCCUCGGACAAGGGCAGCCGACCCCGGGAGAUUUCCGUUUCGCCCGAGGCCCCCCUCCAACGGCAGACACAUCUCCGGCUCGCCCGAGGCCCUGCCUUCGCUAAGAAGCAACCCUGACUAAAUCGCCGCACCGACCGACCGAAUCGCAGGAGCAUUUAAGGCAAAGGUGGCCUGACACCUUUAUCCUGACGCACGCCACCCGGCAGAGCCGAAGUGACCGCCGUCACUUCGCCGCUCCACUGACCGGCCUGACAAAAGGACAGCGCCGCCUGCGCCACUCCGACUGCAGUGCCACUUGACAGAGUGAGACUGACAGGCAGUCAGGCCCUGCCAGAGGCACCAUAGGAAGCUCCGCUCCGCCCGACCCAGGGCUCGGACUCGAGCUAAGUCCCGGAAGACGGCGAACUCCGCUCCGCCCGACCCAGGGCUCGGACUCGGGCUAGGUCCCGGAAGACGGCGAACUCCGCUCCGCCCGACCCAGGGCUCGGACUCGGGCUAGGUCCCGGAAGACGGUGAACUCCGCUCCGCCCGACCCAGGGCUCGGACUCGGGCUAGGUCCCGGAAGACGGCGAACUCCGCUCCGCCCGACCCAGGGCUCGGACUCGGGCUAAGUCCCGGAAGACGACGAACUCCGCUCCGCCCGACCCAGGGCUCGGACUCGGGCUUAGCCCCGGAAGACGACGAACUCCGCUUCGCCCGACCCCAAGGCUCGGACUUCGCCCUGGCCUCUGCCGAACGACCUCCGCCUCGCCCGACCCAGGGGCUCGGGCUCGGCCUCGGCCAUGGAAGACAGACUCGACCUCGGCUUCGGAGGAGCCUCCACGUCGCCCAACCUAGGGCGCAGGCCAGCCACGUCAACAGGAAGCACCAUCAUCACCCUACCCCGAGCUGACUCGGGCCGUAGAGAACAAGACCGGAGUCCCAUCUGGCUAGCUCCGCCAGAUAGGCAAUGAUGGCGCCCCGCAUGCUCUGUGACGACGGCGGCUCUCAGCUCUCUUACGGAAGCAGGAGGACGUCAGCAAGGACUCAACCGCUCUGACAGCUAUCCCUCCGCCAGGCUCCGUCGCUCCUCCGACGGCCACGACAUCACACCAGCUGGGUGCCAAAAUCUCUCCGGCUGCCACAUCGGCAUGUACUUAGGGCGCUAACUCUCCCCCGCUAGACACGUAGCACUCUGCUACACCCCCAUUGUACAUCUGGAUCCUCUCCUUACGCCUAUAAAAGGACCAGGGCCCUCUUAGAGGAGGUUGGCCGCGCGGGGUCGAGGACGGGACAGGCGCUCUCUUGGGGCCGCUCGCUUCCCUCUCCCGCGUGGACGCUUGUAACCCCCUACUGCAAGCGCACCCGACCUGGGCGCGGGACGAACACGAAGGCCGCGGGAUUCCCACCUCUCUCACGCCGGUCACCGGCCGCCUCGCUCCUUCCCCCCUUCGCGCUCGCCCACGUGCUCGACCCAUCUGGGCUGGGGCACGCGGCGACACUCACUCGUCGGCCCGAGGGACCCCCCAGUCUCGAAACGCCGACAGUUGGCGCGCCAGGUAGGGGCCUGCUGCGUGUUGACGAACAGCUUCCCGUCAAGCUCCAGAUGGGCAGUCUCCAGCAACCUCUCCGACCCGGGAUGGUGCUCCGUUUCGGGAGUCUUGAGUUCAUGUCCUUCGACGGCAGCUACGACAUGAUACUCCUUCCACCGCCGCGCGACAACGACAAUGGCGGUCGACAGCCCGCCCGCCGGCGGCGGAAUCGACGACGUCUUCCCCGCGUGGUGGAAGAACAACAUUCGAGUUCGCCCCGUCCUCUCCCCCGCCAACGGAGGAGGAGGCGGGGCAACCAAGGCCAAGCGGGAGGCCGCGCCUCGUCGGCUGUCGAGCGAGUCGACGUCCCCAGCGCCCCAACGGGGGGCGCGUCGGGCGUCGACCUCGCGUUUGAGACGAAGGCGAGCGCUGUCUCCCCGCGACACGCCAAUCCCGAGCAAGUGGACGACGCCAGUGCGCUCGCGGAGAGCUUGCAGGAAGUCGCCCUCGUACCUGAGACGACGGUGCAAUCAGUCCCCGACAUGACUAUGUCGCUGCUCGUCGACCGAAAGGUACCGACCGAUUCCCAUCCUACGUCAUUUGGACUCAACCACAACCCGCCUAGCGACCUUGCUUUGGCGGGCGCCCUCGUAAAGGCGAGAUCAAACCCUCUGGGGUUUCGCAUGCGGUCGCCUUGGGACCGGCUGACGGACGUCUCGACCUACGGGCCCUCUGGGUCCGAGGAAGAUGACGACCCCAACAUCUGUUGGGAUUUCUCUGGAUUUGGCAACCCCAGUGCCAUGCGGGACUUCAUGACCGCAUGUGACUACUGCCUCUCUGACUGUUCCGACGGUAGCCGCAGCCUCGACGACGAGGACUGCGGCCCAAGCCGCGAAUGUUUCCACGUCGAUCUAGGGGAUCCCUCCGAAGGCAAUCAUCUCGGCAUGCCGGAGGGCGGUGAUCUCCCUAGGUCGGUGCCUCGCGCUGACAUCCCACGGAAGCUAGCUGUGGUCCCCGUUCCGGCGGGGGGUCACGACCCACAGCUCGAGCAAGUCCGAGGGGCGCAGGCCAGGCUCGACGAGGGAGCAGGAGCGCUUGAGCCGAUCCGCCGGGACGUCGGGCAGGCAUGGGCAGGCCAACCCCCGGCCGGAGAAAUACGUCACCUGCCCCAGGGUCUCCAGCACCGCGUCGCCGACGGCGUCAGGGUCAGGCCGCCACCCGCAUCCAGUGGGGUCGGUCAGAACCUGGCUGCAGCAGCGAUGCUUCUCCGCGCGAUGCCGGAGCCAUCAACCACCGAGGGUCGGCGAAUCCAGGGAGAGCUCAAGAAUCUCCUGGAAGGCGCUGUGGUCCGACGGGCCGAGAGCUCUGCCUCCCGAAGGCAGGGAUACCCCUCGGAACCUCAUGCCGCGACUUCCCGAUUCAUGCGGGAAGCCUCGGUCUACACCGGGCGCACGCGCAACACCGCGCCUGCGGCCCCGGGCCACCUCGGCAACGAGCACCAUCAUCGCGACCGUCAGGCCCACCUCGACGAGAGGGUGUGCCGAGGUUACCACCCCAGGCGUGGGGGACGCUACGACAGCGGGGAGGAUCGGAGUCCCUCGCCCGAACCACCCGGUCCGCAGGCCUUCAGCCGGGCCAUCCGACGGGCACCGUUCCCGACCCGGUUCCGACCCCCGACUACUAUCACAAAGUACUCGGGGGAAACGAGACCGGAACUGUAGCUCGCGGACUACCGCCUGGCCUGCCAACUGGGUGGAACGGACGACGACAACCUCAUCAUCCGCAACCUCCCCCUGUUCCUCUCCGACACCGCUCGCGCCUGGUUGGAGCACCUGCCUCCGGGGCAGAUCUCCAACUGGGAUGACCUGGUCCAAGCCUUCGCCGGCAAUUUCUAGGGCACGUACGUGCGCCCCGGGAAUUCCUGGGACCUCCGAAGCUGCCGGCAGCAGCCGGGAGAGUCUCUCCGGGACUACAUCCGACGAUUCUCGAAGCAGCGCACCGAGCUGCCCAACAUCACCGACUCGGAUGUCAUCGGCGCGUUCCUUGUCGGCACCACCUGCCGCGACCUGGUGAGUAAGUUGGGUCGCAAGACCCCCACCAGGGCGAGCGAGCUGAUGGACAUCGCCACCAAGUUCUCCUCUGGCCAGGAGGCGGUCGAAGCUAUCUUCCGAAAGGACAAGCAGCCCCAGGGCCGCCCAUCGGAAGAUGCUCCCGAGGCGUCUACUCCGCGCGGCGCCAAGAAGAAAGGCAAGAAGAAGUCGCAAGCGAAACGCGACGCCGCCGACGCGGACCUUGUCGCCGCCGCCGAGUACAAGAACCCUCGGAAGCCCCCCGGAGGUGCUAACCUCUUCGACAAGAUGCUCAAGGAGCCGUGCCCCUAUCAUCAGGGGCCCGUCAAGCACACCCUUGAGGAGUGCGUCAUGCUUCGGUGCCACUUCCACAGGGCCGGGACACCCGCGGAGGGUGGCAGGGCCCGCGACGACGACAAGAAGGAAGAUCACCAAGCAGGAGAGUUCCCCGAGGUCCGCGACUGCUUCAUGAUCUACGGUGGGCAUGCGGCGAAUGCCUCGGCUCGGCAUCGCAAGCAAGAGCGGCGGGAGGUCUGCUCGGUGAAGGUGGCGGCGCCAGUCUACCUAGACUGGUCCGACAAGCCCAUCACCUUCGACCAAGCUGACCACCCCGACCACGUGCCGAGCCCGGGGAAAUACCCGCUCGUCGUCGACCCCGUCGUCGGCGACGUCAGGCUCACCAAGGUCCUUAUGGACGGGGGCAGCUGCCUCAACAUCAUCUACGCCGAGACCCUCAGGCUCCUGCGCAUCGAUCUGUCCUCCGUCCGAGCAGGCGCUGCGCCCUUCCACGGGAUCAUUCCCGGGAAGCGCGUCCAGCCCCUCGGACGACUCGAUCUUCCCGUCUGCUUCGGAACGCCCUCCAACUUCCGAAGGGAGACUCUGACGUUCGAGGUGGUCGGGUUCCGAGGAACCUACCACGCGGUACUGGGGAGGCCAUGCUACGCGAAGUUUAUGGCCGUCCCCAGCUACACCUACUUGAAGCUCAAGAUGCUGGGCCCCAACGGGGUCAUCACCGUCGGCCCCACGUACAAACACGCGUUCGAAUGCGACGUGGAGUGUGUGGAGUACGCCGAGGCCCUCGCCGAGUCCGAGGCCCUCAUCGCCGACCUGGAAAGCCUCUCCAAAGAGGUUGCAGACGUGAAGCGCCAUGCCGGCAACUUCGAGCCAGUGGAGACGGUCAAGGUCGUCCCCCUCGACCCCAGUGGCGACGCCUCCAAGCAGAUCCGGAUCGGUUCCGGGCUCGACCCCAAAUAGGAAGCAGUGCUCGUCGACUUUCUCCGCGCGAACGCCGACGUCUUCGCGUGGAGUCCCUCGGACAUGCCCGGCAUACCAAGGGAUGUCGCCGAGCACUCGCUGGAUAUCCGGGCCGGAGCCCGACCCGUCAAGCAGCCUCUGCGCCGAUUCGACGAGGAGAAGCGCAGAGUGAUAGGCGAGGAGAUCCACAAGCUAACGGCAGCCGGGUUCAUCAAAGAGGUAUUCCAUCCCGAAUGGCUUGCCAACCCUGUGCUUGUGAGAAAGAAAGGGGGAAAUGGUGGAUGUGUGUAGACUACACUGGUCUCAACAAAGCAUGUCCGAAGGUUCCCUACCCUCUGUCUCGCAUCGAUCAAAUCGUGGAUUCCACUGCUGGGUGCGAAACCCUGUCUUUCCUCGACGCCUACUCAGGGUAUCACCAAAUCAGGAUGAAAGAGUCCGACCAGCUCGCGACUUCUUUCAUCACACCCUUCGGCAUGUACUGCUAUGUCACCAUGCAGUUCGGUUUGAGGAAUGCGGGCGCGACGUAUCAGCGGUGCAUGAACCAUGUGUUCGGCGAACACAUCGGUCGCACGGUCGAGGCCUACGUCGAUGACAUCGUAGUCAAGACAAGGAAAGCUUCCGACCUCCUCUCCGACCUUGAAGUGACAUUCCGAUGUCUCAAAGCGAAAGGCGUCAAGCUCAAUCCCGAGAAGUGUGUCUUCGGGGUGCCCCGGGGCAUGCUCUUGGGGUUCAUCGUCUCCGAGCGGGGCAUCGAAGCCAACCCGGAGAAGAUCGCAGCCAUCACCAGCAUGGGGCCCAUCAAGGACUUAAAAGGCGUACAGAGGGUCAUGGGAUGUCUCGCGGCCCUGAGCCGCUUCAUCUCACGCCUCGGCGAAAGAGGCCUGCCUCUGUACCGCCUCUUAAGGAAGGCCGAGUGCUUCGCUUGGACCCCUGAGGCCGAGGAAGCUCUCGGGAACCUGAAGGCGCUCCUCACAAAGGCGCCUAUCUUGGUGCCUCCAGCUGACGGAGAAGCCCUCUUGGUCUACGUCGCCGCGACCACUCAGGUGGUUAGCGCCGCGAUUGUGGUCGAGAGGCAAGAAGAGGGGCAUGCAUUGCCCGUUCAGAGGCCAGUUUACUUCGUCAGCGAGGUACUGUCCGAGACCAAGAUCCGCUACCCACAAGUUCAGAAGCUGUUGUAUGCAGUGAUCCUGACGAGGCGGAAGUUGUGACACUACUUCGAGUCUCAUCCGGUAACUGUGGUGUCAUCCUUCCCCCUGAGGGAGAUCAUCCAGUGCCGAGAGGCCUCGGGCAGGAUUGCAAAUUGGGCGGUGGAAAUCAUGGGCGAGACAAUCUCGUUCGCCCCUCGAAAGGCCAUCAAGUCCCAGGUAUUGGCGGACUUCGUAGCCGAAUGGGUCGACACCCAGCUACCGACGGCUCCGAUCCAACCGGAGCUCUGGACCAUGUUUUUCGACGGGUCGCUAAUGAAGACGGGAGCCGGCGCGGGCCUACUCUUCAUCUCGCCCCUCGGGAAACACCUACGCUAUGUGCUACGCCUCCAUUUCCCGGCGUCCAACAAUGUGGCUGAGUACGAGGCUCUGGUCAACGGGUUGCGGAACGCCAUCGAGCUAGGGGUCAGGCGCCUCGACGCCCGCGGUGACUCGCAGCUCGUCAUCGACCAAGUCAUGAAGAACUCCCACUGCCGCGACCCGAAGAUGGAGGCCUAUUGCGAUGAGGUUCGGCGCCUGGAAGACAAGUUCUACGGGCUCGAGCUUAACCACAUCGCUCGGCGCUACAACGAGACUGCGGACGAGCUGGCAAAAAUAGCCUCGGGGCGAACAACGGUUCCCCCGGACGUCUUCUCCCGGGAUCUGCAUCAACCCUCCGUCAAGAUCGACGACACGCCCGAGCCUGAGGCGCCCUCGGUCCAGCCCGAGGUACCCUCGGCACAGCCCGAGGCACCCUCAGCUCGGCCCGAGGCGCCCUCGGUUCAGCCCGAGGUACCCUCGGCCUCCGAGGGCGAAGCACUGCGCAUCGAGGAGGAGCGGAGCGGGGCCACGCCUGAUCAGAAUUGGCAGACCCCGUACCUACAAUAUCUCCGCCAAGGAGAGCUACCCCUCGACCGAGGCGAGGCUCGGCGGGUAGCGCGACGCGCCAAGUCGUUCGUCUUGCUGGGCGAUGAGAAGGAGCUCUAUCACCGCAGCCCCUCGGGCAUCCUCCAGCGAUGCAUCUCCAUCGCCGAAGGUCAGGAACUCCUGCAAGAGAUACACUCGGGCGCUUGCGACCAUCACGCAGCGCCUCGGGCCCUUGUCGGGAAUGCUUUCCGGCAAGGCUUCUACUGGCCAACGGCGGUGGCUGACGCCACUAGAAUUGUCCGCACCUGCGAAGGGUGUCAAUUCUAUGUGAAGCAGACCCACCUGCCCGCUCAGGCUCUGCAGACGAUACCCAUCACCUGGCCCUUUGCUGUGUGGGGUCUGGACCUCGUCGGCCCCUUGCAGAAGGCGCCCGGGGGCUACACGCACCUGCUGGUCGCCAUCAACAAAUUCUCCAAGUGGGUCGAGGUCCGACCUCUGAACAGCAUCAGGUCCGAGCAGGCGGUGACGUUCUUCACCAACAUCAUCCAUCGCUUCGGGGUCCCGAACUCCAUCAUCACCGACAACGGUACCCAGUUCACCGGCAGAAAAUUCUUGGACUUCUGCGAGGAUCACCACAUCCGGGUGGACUGGGCCGCCGUGGCUCAUCCCAUGACGAAUGGGCAAGUAGAGCGUGCCAACGGCAUGAUUCUACAAGGGCUCAAGCCUCGGAUUUACAACGACCUCAACAAGUUCGGCAAGCGAUGGAUGAAGGAACUCCCCUCGGUGGUCUGGAGCCUGAGGACAACGCCGAGCCGAGCCACGGGUUUCACGCCGUUCUUCCUGGUCUACGGGGCCGAGGCCGUCUUGCCCACUGACCUGGAAUACGGCUCCCCGAGGACGAGGGCCUACAGCGAUCAAAGCAACCAAGCUAGCCGAGAAGACUCGCUGGACCAGCUGGAAGAGGCUCGGGACAAGGCCUUACUACACUCGGCGCGGUACCAGCAGUCCCUGCGACGCUACCACGCCCGAGGGGUCCGGCCCCGAGACCUCCAGGUGGGCGACCUGGUGCUUCGGCUGCGGCAAGACGCCCGAGGGAGGCACAAGCUCACGCCCCCCUGGGAGGGGCCAUUCGUCAUCGCCAAAGUUCUGAAGCCCAGAACGUACAAGCUGGCCAACAGUCAAGGCGAGGUCUACGGCAACGCUUGGAACAUCCAACAUCUACGUCGCUUCUACCCUUAAGAUGUUUUCAAGUUGUUCAUAUACCUCGCACCCACGCAAAGUUUAGUCAUCAAGGAAGGGUCGGCCUCGCCUCGGCAAAGCCCGACCCUCCCUCGGGGGCUAAAAGGGGGGAACCCCCUCUGCGUUGAAAUUUUCCUCGAAAAAAGAUCUCUUCUGCCAGAAUAUCUUUCGUGCUUUCUGACUACUUCGAAAAGUGGAUCCUGAAAACGACGGAGUACACGUAAGCAGCCAAGGCUGACCGAGCCGAGGGACUCCUACGCCUCCAGGAUACGGAUACCUCACUCAUCACCUUCUGCGAUAAGUAACUCGCGUUCGGAUAAAGUGAUUCCGCGGACCGAACAAGUCUUCACGUUCGGAAGCUCUUCUGCCGAAGCGAUCCUUCGAGCCUUCUCGACUGAGUCGGUGACAGGGCCUCAUGGACGGGUAAAAGUGCGCGUAAGCGGCAAGGCCGACCGAGCCGAGGGACUCCCACGCCUCCGGGAUACGGAUACCUCACUCAUCACCUUCCGCGAGAAGCAACUCUCGCUCGCACAAACAUCCCUGUUACCGAUAAAAAAGUCCAGAUACUCGAAACAAGAGGAAAGGAGACGCAGCUUUACAACACAGCGAGGGUGUGUAUUCUGGCCUCGGCGGCCGCAGAAGGCACACGCUACAAGACACUCUGAUCCUGCAGGCUCGGGUCUUGACGCUGGAAGGGGGCAGUAGCACCCUCGGCAUCGACGACGCCUUCAGCGAGGUCCGACCUAGCCUCGGACGGCGACGCGGUCCAGGGAUCCCCACUCUGGAGGACGACGUCAUCGCCACGCCCGGACAAUCGCUGCCAGGGACUUCUCCGGGAAUCCGGCCCGAGCAGGCGGCUCGGCUGGUUACCCCUGGGGCCUCGGCCAACCAUCUCCCAAGGGCGCCAGCCCGACCCGAGGCCUCGGCUGAUCAACUCCGGCGUCGGUCCCGCUAACGGACAACCUGGCUAGGCUCCGGCCAACCAGGUUUCAUUUUCGAGCCAACUCCGCCUCUGUUCAUGCUGAUAUCGCUACCCCUGGCCUCGGCUCGUCGAAGAGCGGCCAAGGGGUCCCUUUAACUAAGCUAGAGGAGCCUCAGACAACAAGGCCGACCGAGCCGAGGGACUCCUACGCCUCCGGGAUACGGAUACCUCACUCGUCACCUUGACACGGGGCGACUCAUGCUUGGUAAAGCGGUUCAGAUAAUCAACAGGUGAGUCUUAGUGCUCGAAAAUGAGGAAAAAACACGGCUCCGUGCCAAAAUUACAUACACGUUCAGGCCUCGACAGCCAUAAUGAACAAAAACAGUGGCAUUCAAAAUGCCAUUACAAACGGAACUCUGGUUCCGUCCCCCGCGGGUAUGAGCAACCUCGAGCCUGCGGGGCGACGAACGUCGGGGGACCUGCCAGCGACCUCUGCAGCAGCAGCCAUGGUCCCGGGUGGACGCGGCCACCGGAGGGCUCUCGUUCGCGGUCCCGCUCAAGGGACGCGAACCAGCUAUUAAAGCCAAAGAGCAGGCCGCUCCCAAGCGCACCGGCAGGUCCUCGCUGCCGUCCUCGCCGCGAAUGCGAGGGAGAGGGCGGAAUGUUGCAUCCUAGCUGGGUAGCAACAGUUCGCCUUCCCCGGCAUGGCUGGAGGACGUCUCCGCCGCAGGGCUGGAGGGCGAUUGCCACCACCAGAAGCUGGAAGAAGAGGUGGCCCGCCGACCCGCACAGGAGGUAGAGCCCGGGCUCGCCUCGCUCCCCGCCCCAGCGAGGAUGACGAACACCCUCGAUGCUGAGGGCGGGAUCGGGAUCACAGCCCGGCUUGCCUCUCCCCAUCCAGGAGCUGGAGGUCACCGUCUUGGGUGACCACCAGCGGAGGGGAGCAACCGGGCUGUGUGAUGAAAAUCCUUGAAGCCGAACGAUGGCUGAAAGGUACCAACUCCCACGGAGUUGCGUUCCUCCAACGAUGAGGCGAAAAGAUGGCGGGUAUCCCCCAUCCGGGGGCUUGGAAGGUGGAAAGACGCGAUGCAUAAGGGAGCGAGAAGACAUGGUCGCCUUCCGAAAGGGGUCGCCCUCCUUUUAAAGGCAACUCUCCCUACUUGCGCCCCCAAUCGUCACGGGCUGAGUCUUCUCCAACACGCUCCAAGGCCCUCCCCUGCGGCGCGGGGGCUGGGUCCCGCAUGUCAUGCAAACCGGCUCGGAGCAGAAGAAGCCAAACCGCCGCGCGUGGUGCACACAACCGCCCAGCGGUUACAAGUGACCUUCCACUUUUGCCCAGACCAACGGGCGAAAGAGGCGGGCAGCCAUGCAGGCGGCAUGCAACCGCGCCAAGUGGACGCGCUUCUCCGACUCCCGACACGCCCAGCAUGGAGGCCCAGGCCCACGCGUCACGUAACCGGCGCGCCGGAUGCUGCGUGCAAGCGACUACACCGCCACUUGUGCCACCACCGCGCCUCUUCGGUUGCGGAACCAAUACCGUGACUCGAGGCGACCCAGCACACGACCCAGCAGCGCCAGCCUAGCGCGGCGGUCAAUGCGGUCAAAAAUGGGCCGGCAGUAAUGACGGUGGCAGGCGGGCGGGAGCAGCGGUCGCGUCGUCAGCCUAGCUCACGUCCCAUCCGGGGGCAGCAAGAGAACCCCCUCUCACGGCGUGAAGACAACACGCCCGUGAUCCGUUCCUCGAACGGCUCGCGCACGCGCGACGGCCGCCCCGCCAACCACUCGCCCCGUCGCAUUAACUCCGCGGCGGGACAGGCGACACCUAUGGCAGGAGAAGCGGGCGACGCUUCGCCUUCGCCGUAAUAACCACGCCAAAAAAGGUACGCCGCGUCGUUCGAUUUCGUAUCCUUUUCCUUUUUUCCUCUUUCUCUCUCUUGCAACAGGGACCGGGAAAGGGGGAUACCCCGAAAAGGAUCCUUCCCCGUGAAGGAACCGGGCUCCAAGCCUCCCUACUGAUCAGAGGUUCGAAGGCUGGCCCCUGAGGGGUUCAACAGCCGCCUCAGAUCGCGUGGGCCCUACACCCACUACUGGUCAGAGGUUCGAAGGCCGGCCCCCCGAAGGGUUCCACGGCCGCCUCAGGCUACUCGGGCUCCGCGCCCAUUACUGAUCAGGGGUUCGAAGGCUGGCCCCCGAAGGGUUCACAGCCGCCUCAGACGCCGAGCGAGGGAUGACCAGGGGUACGUUCGAUACAUAACCAAGGCUCGGGCUGCGCUCCCGAGGUACCCUAGGACAUUUUCGAGACCAGCAGGAGCGAUCUUGUAACGGAAUCCCAUCGGAGGGAGGCAUCGAGCCCUCGGACCCCGUCGCCAGGGGACCGGGUCCGGCAGAUCACCCGCAGGUACUUUUGGGCGUGCCUCUGGGCCCCUAGCCGACCCCUAACGAAUGGGGCACGGACGUCCACUCGGAUUACCCGAUUGCAGCUCACCGGAGACACCAUGUUCGGCGCCCAUCGAGGGUAACAUGGCGCUUUCCCCCCUCCUCCUUGCGGAAAGGCGACGCAGGGGCGUAUGUAAAAAAGCCGAGUCUGUCCCUGAUCGCCCUCUCGUCCUUUGCGGAGGCUCGGGGGCUGCUCUCGCAAACCCGGCCUCGGCCGAACCGUUGACAGCGUCAACGUACCAGCCCGAGAACUUGGGCCCCGACCGUACACCCGGGCUACGGCCAGUUCGCAUGAGGGAACAACCAGACCGGCUGAAGCAUUACGCAAGGCAUUAAGACCUCGGAGGAGUGAAACCACUCCUCCGAGGCCUCGGGGGCUACACCCGGCGGGUGCGCUCGCGCGCACCCACCGGAACAAAAGGCAACCGAGAAAGGCUGGUCCCCUUGCAAAAAAGUGCGACGAAAGCCUCCAAGCGAGUGCUAACACUCCCUUCGAGGCUCGGGGGCUACUGUCGGGGACCAUAAUUAGGGGUACCCUCAAGACUCCUAAUUCUCAGCUGGUAACCCCCAUCAGCAUAAAGCUGCAAAGGCCUGAUGGGUGCGAUUAAGUCAGGGAUCAGUUCAUUCGAGCGACUCGAUCAUGCCUCGCCCGAGCCUAGCCUCGGACAAGGGCAGCCGACCCCGGGGGAUUUCCGUCUCGCCCGAGGCCCCCCUCCAACGGCGGACACAUCUCCGGCUCGCCCGAGGCCCUGCCUUCGCUAAGAAGCAACCCUGACUAAAUCGCCGCACCGACCGACCGAAUCGCAGGAGCAUUUAACACAAAGGUGGUCUGACACCUUUAUCCUGACGCACGCCCCCCGGCAGAGCCGAAGUGACCGCCGUCACUUCGUCGCUCCACUGACCGGCCUGACAAAAGGACAGCGCCGCCUGCGCCACUCCGACUGCAGUGCCACUUGACAGAGUGAGACUGACAGGUAGUCAGGCCCUGCCAGAGGCACCAUAGGAAGCUCCGCUCCGCCCGACCCAGAGCUCGGACUCGGGCUAAGUCCCGGAAGACGGCGAACUCCGCUCCGCCCGACCCAGGGCUCGGACUCGGGCUAGGUCCCGGAAGACGGCAAACUCCGCUCCGCCCGACCCAGGGCUCGAACUCGGGCUAGGUCCCGGAAGACGGCGAACUCCGCUCCGCCCGACCCAGGGCUCGGACUCGGGCUAGGUCCCGGAAGACGGCGAACUCCGCUCCGCCCGACCCAGGGCUCGGACUCGGGCUAAGUCCCGGAAGACGACGAACUCCGCUCCGCCCGACCCAGGGCUCGGACUCGGGCUCAGCCCCGGAAGACGACGAACUCCGCUUCGCCCGACCCCAGGGCUCGGACUCCGCCCUGGCCUCUGCCGAACGACCUCCGCCUCGCCCGACCCAGGGGCUCGGGCUCGGCCUCGGCCAUGGAAGACAGACUCGACCUCGGCUUCGGAGGAGCCUCCACGUCGCCCAACCUAGGGCGCAGGCCAGCCACGUCAAUAGGAAGCGCCAUCAUCACCCUACCCCGAGCUGACUCGGGCCGCAGAGAACAAGACCGGAGUCUCAUCUGGCUAGCUCCGCCAGAUAGGCAAUGAUGGCGCCCCGCAUGCUCUGUGACGACGGCGGCUCUCAGCUCUCUUACGGAAGCAGGAGGACGUCAGCAAGGACUCAACCGCUCCGACAGCUGUCCCUCCGCCAGGCUCCGUCGCUCCUCCGACGGCCACGACAUCACACCAGCUGGGUGCCAAAAUCUCUCCGGCUGCCACAUCGGCAUGUACUUAGGGCGCUAGCUCUCCCCCGCUAGACACGUAGCACUCUGCUACACCCCCAUUGUACACAUGGAUCCUCUCCUUACGCCUAUAAAAGGAAGGACCAGGACCCUCUUAGAGGAGGUUGGCCGCGCGGGGACGAGGACGGGACAGGCGCUCUCUUGGGGCCGCUCGCUUCCCUCUCCCGCGUGGACGCUUGUAACCCCCUACUGCAAGCGCACCCGACCUGGGCGCGGGACGAACACGAAGGCCGCGGGAUUCCCACCUCUCUAACGUCGGUCACCGGCCGCCUCGCUUCUUCCCCCCUUCGCGCUCGCCCACGCGCUCGACCCAUCUGGGCUGGGGCACGCGGCGACACUCACUCGUCAGCCCGAGGGACCCCCGGUCUCGAAACGCCGACAGACCCUAUCCAUCCUCAAUCCUGCCCGUCCACUCCUUAUCCAAUGGCUCAGAUCCCUUCACCAAAGGAGUAUAUUUGCUUUUAAUCACAAACGCCCAUCGCGAGAUGGACGGUAGCCGUACCCUCUUCAACCUCACGCGCAGCAACGGCCAGAAAUCGCCCCAACCAGCGGAGCCCUCACCAGCGCGCCACCAAAUUUGCCAGCUCCGGUGACAACGUUCCCAUGGUGAUGCGCGAAAACAAAAUCGAAGCAAGGCGGUUACGAAGGGGUGUCUCACCGGAUGGUUAAGCGUUGGCCGAGCGGGUUCGCGACGGAAGACUUGCUUGCCGCAGCUUCCCACCAUGGACCCGACGGAACAUGGCACCUGGCGUAGGGCGUCGGUCGUCUUCGUCGCCAGGAGAGAAAGAGGGAUGAACGCCUAAACGGGAGAAGAAUUCCAAGAAACAGGAACGACAAUUCCUGCUCCCACGGUCUCUCUCCCCAGGCGACGGUGCUCCCCUCCCUGUUUUUUUUCCUGGGAACAAGAACGUGAUUAUGUUUCUCGGCCAGCACCGUAGAGGUGGGAGGGGGAAAGACCUGGUCUUUAUAUCCGCAGAUGGAUUCCUAGCCGCAACAGUCCGACCGAGUGGUUGCCGGCAAUCACGG